rnacentral:lncRNA from 1 species
UUUGUUGGAGUCAAUGUAGAUUGUAAAGGCCAGAUCUACUUCUUUCGAAUGUGUAUUCUCCUUGUAAUAUAUAAGGGAAUGUCAUAACUUAUUUAAUUUAAUUUUUAUUAUUCUUUUAUAAUCCACAUGGAUUUUAUUUUUAAUUUUUAAAAAAAUAUUAAUUUCUCUUUUAAUUUUUUUCAUUUAUAUUUUGUGAAUGAUGAAUUUCCUCUCACACUCACACCAUUCCCCACGCCUUUUUCCUUCUUCUUCCUCCAUGAAAUUCACCAAUACAUAAUCCUAAUAAUUUCCAUGAUAAACUUUGUUCGGGGCACCGUUGAGAGUGUCGACUUUUGGUUAUCCGUGUGUUGUUUUUAGUUGGAU